AAGCGCAGUUUACCAUGGCAGGGCAGGCCUGCGGCAGAAACGCGAGGCAGUAGGGCACCUUACAUCUGCCAGGCAUCGAAGCUCGGCUAGCUUCCAGUUUUCAUUCAGCCUGGGACCCCAGCUCACACUGUGAUGCUGCUCAAGUGAGUCUGCCGCCCCUGCAGACGGCCAAGAGCCAUGAGCCGCACUCACUCCAGGAUGUUGUCUGCUCUGACAACCACACCACCUGGGUGAGGGUAUCCGGUGCUGCGAGGAGGAGAUUCUCCAGCUCUUCCCCGCAUGCUUGCAGAGACUUACUGGUCAUGCCGGGUGUCGGGGAUGCUUCUGUCCAUGUGCAGCUUGUCACUCUCCACCUGGUUGAACUUGUUACGUGCGUAGGGGUCCUGCCCAGAGCGAACCAUCGUACCGCCGACGUAUGCCUCCUGGUUAAAGUCUGGCCACCGGACUUUGCCUGGAAAAAAGCGAAGCAGAGGGUGUGGGACAAGCGGACACGAGACCAGAGUGUUGCCAGAGAUGGCAGCAAGUGUUAGGUCGAGCGACAGUGGCCUUGGCUCGUUCACAGGAGGACAACUGUAAUCAACAGUAGCUGAGAGGGCCCUGAACAUCAUCACACAGAAGCUGAGACUCUGCAGGACAAGAGUGACAACCCAAGCUCACACUUCACUCAGCAGCCCCCAAGACAGCUGGCAACUCAGGUGCCAUGGAGUUCUGGGAAUAGGGUGUUCUCUGUCUGUCUACCUUCCCCGGGAUUUUGGUUAUGUCCCCAAAGCAUCCCCGUCAGGCAAAGGCAACAACGCAUGUAUAAAUUAAUAAAGGACUCCACUGUGCAAUCAGG
rnacentral:lncRNA from 1 species